AAAAUCUCCAGGCAUAGGCAUUAGGCGGGAUCAGCCAUAUGUGUGAUUUUCCUUCAGUUAUGUCCACUGAAAUCACGUCAACAGCAAGCAGGAGCUGGCUAUUGCUUCAGAUGAGGUUUUAAGUUUGGAGUAGCUACCGAAACGCGCUGUGAUUCUUGGUGGCGGUAGAUCCUAGGUAUAUCACGCAGUACCAUGUAUGUCGAGGAGCUGGCUAUUACUUCAGAUGAGGCUUUAAGUUUGGAGGAGCUACCGAAAUGUGUUGUGAUUCUUGGUGGCGGUAGUACCCUGUAUGUCCAGGGUCUCCUGGCUUCCCUCCAAGCCCCACAUAUGCUCCUCCUGGUGUUUUCUCACAUCAAGGACCAGUGUUGAUUCAUUUGAUUGUUGACCCAGUGACCAUGGCCAGACCACCUGUUCCACCUACAUCGCCAAGAUUGCGGCAACAGUGAACAAUGAUUUUGUUCUUUAUCUU